AGACAGGGUCUCACUCUGUCGCCCAGGCUGGAGUGCAGUGGCACAAUCUUGGCUCACUGUAGUGUAGACUUCCCAGGCUCAAGGGAUUUCUCCCACCCCAGACUCCCAAGUAGCUGGAACUACGGGUGUGCACCACCACCACACCUGGCUAAUGUUUCUUUUUUUGGUAGACACAGAGUCUCACUAUUUAGCACUGAUUGGUCUCCAACUCCUGGCCUCAAGCAAUCCUCCUGCUUAGGCUUCCCAAAUUGCUGGGAUUACAGGCAUGAGCCACAAUGCCUGGCCUCUGCUAGUUCCGUAUUCUCUAGAGUUGUCUUUACUUUGUGCUAGCGUGUCCCUCAUUGUGCUGAUCCUCUGUAAAAAUUAAUACCUUUUUUUUUUUUUCGAGACGGAGUUUCACUCUUGUUGCCCAGGCUGGAGUGCAAUGGCGCUAUCUCGGCUCAGCGCAACCGCCACCUGCCGGGUUCAAGCGAUUCUCCUGCCACAGCCUCCCGAGUAGUUGGGAUUACAGGCAUGUGCCACCAUGCCCAGCUAAUUUUGUAUUUUUAGUAGAGAUGGGGUUUCUCCAUGCUGGUCAGGCUGGUCUCGAACUCCUGACCUCAGGUGAUCUGUCUGCCUUGGCCUCCCAAAGUGCUGGGAUUACAGGCAUGAGCCAUUGUGCCUGGCCAAAAUUAAUACUUUUUAUAUUAAAUUUACAUAUGUAUACGUUUUUUCUUUUUGAUACCGGGUCUCACACUGUCACCCAAGCUGGAGUACAGUGGCACAACCUCUGCUCAUUGCAGCCUCCACCUGCCAGGCUCAAGCAAUUCUCCUGCCUCAGCCUCCCGAGUAGCUGGGAUUACAGGAAGUGACCUCACAAUGACUCAAGCUACCACAUACUGUUGAUUGUGAAAUGCCAGUUGAAGCAUAUGUCCUGCGAGCUUAGGGGUGCUACAAGUUGACCACUGCAGCAGUAAAGAUGACUCUGAAGAAUGGCAUGGGAUGGAUCCUUUCGAAUGCACUUGAGCAGCGGUCUCCAACCACAGGGCCACAGAGCUGGAGCUGGAUCUACCAUGAAAGACUUCUGAAUCCAGGAAGAGAGACUGACUGGGCAACAUGUUAUUCAGGGUCUCCCUCUGUUGUCCAAGGCUGGAGUGUAGUAGUGCUAUCACAGCUGACUGCAGCCUCAACCUUCCAGGCUGAAGUGAUUCUCCCAUCUCAACCUCCCACGUGGCUGAGACUACAGGUGCUUGCCACUAUGCCCAACUAAUAUUUGGAAUUUUCAUAUAAGUGGAUUCCAGAGUGGUGACAGCAAAACGUGGGACCAUCCAGUUGCAGGAAAACAAGCUUAACAUGCCCACUGAUUCUACAUUAUGCUCCUACCUCCCGGCAGCCUCUCCAGGCCCAGAACUUUCUCCAGUCAGCCUCUACAGACCAAGCUCAUGACUCACAAUGGCCUAUUUAGGCCCAUACCCUACCUCACGGCAGUCUCCGCAGAUGAGCCUACUGCCUCACAACAGCCUCCACAGGCACAGCUCCAUCGUUACAAUGGCCUCUUUAGACCCAGCUCCUGCCUCCCAGCCUUCUCUCUAGGCCCUGAACUUUCUGAAGUCGACCUCACCAGGCCCAGCUCAUGCUUCUUUGCAGCCUCUCCAGGCCCAGCUCCUGCAUCUUGGUGGCCCCUCCAGGCCCAGCCUCUGCCUCCCGUCGGCCUCUACAGUCCCAACAUCUGCCUCAUAGCAGAUUCUUGAGGCCCAGCAUCUGCCUCACUGUGGACCCCCCAAGCCAAGCUCCCAACCUUUAGCAGCUUCUACACACCCAGCUCCUGCCACCCAGUGGCCUCUUUAGGCCAAGCUCAUGCUUCACAAGGGCCUUUCCAGGCCCAACUUUCGUCUCAUGGCAACCUUCCCUGGCCAGAUUCCUGCGUGUCUCCCAGCAGCCUAGACAGGCCCAGGUCUUGCCUCACACUGGCCUCUCUACAUCCAGCUCAUGCCUCACAGUGACCUCUCCAGGCACAGCUCCUGUCCCAGAACGUCAUCUCCGGGCCCAAAACUUACUCAAGUCAGCCUCUCUAGUCCCAACUGCUGCCUCCUGGUGGCCUAUGAAGGCCCAAAAUCUCCUCAAGUUGACCUCUCCCGGCCCAGCUCCUGCCUCCUGUCAGCGUCUACAGGCCCAACCUCUGCCUCAUGGGGGCUUCUCCAGGCCCAGCUCUUCCUCUUGGCUGAGUCUACAGGCACAACUGCUGCCUCACAACAGCCUUUUUUGGCCCAGUUCCUGUCCAGCUCAUGGCAGCCAAUGUAGGCCCAAAACUUCCUCAAGUCAUACUCUCCAGGCCCACCUUCUGCUUCCCGGUGGCAUGAACAGGCCCAGCUUUGACUUGAGAACAGCCUCUGCAGGGCCUGCUCUUGCCUCCCAGGGGCUUUUCCAAGCCCAGCUCUUGCCUCAUGGCAGCUGCCUCAGGCCAAAUUUCUUCCUGCCUGCCAGCAGCCUCAACAGGCACAGCUCCUCCCUCACGGUGGCCCAUUUAGGCCCAACUCAUGACUGUCGGGCCAUUUCCAGGCCUAGUGCCUGCCUCCUGGCUGACUCUUGAAGCCCAAAACUUCCUCAAAUCAGCCUUUUGCCCAACUUGUGUCUACUGUCGGACUCUACAGGCCAGCCUCUGCCUCACAGUGGACCCUGCAGACCCAGAUGGUGUCUCACUGUGGCAUCCUCAGGCAAAGCUCCUGCCUUUCGGCAGCCUCUACGGGGCCAGCUCCUGCCUUGCAGUGGCCUCUUCAGGCCAAGCUCAUGCCCCAUGGCGACUUUUCCAGGCACAGCUUUUGCCUUUUGCAGCCUGUCCAGGCCCAGAAUGUCCUUAACUCGGCAUCUCCAGGACGAGCUCAUCCUCCCAGUGCGUCUACAGGCCCAUCUCC
ensembl:lncRNA novel transcript